GACGAACGCUGGCGGCGUGCCUAAUACAUGCAAGUAGAACGCUGAAGGAAGGAGCUUGCUCUUUCCGGAUGAGUUGCGAACGGGUGAGUAACACGUAGGUAACCUGCCUGGUAGCGGGGGAUAACUAUUGGAAACGAUAGCUAAUACCGCAUAACAGUAGAUGUUGCAUGAUAUCUACUUAAAAGGUGCAAUUGCACCACUACCAGAUGGACCUGCGUUGUAUUAGCUAGUUGGUGAGGUAACGGCUCACCAAGGCGACGAUACAUAGCCGACCUGAGAGGGUGAUCGGCCACACUGGGACUGAGACACGGCCCAGACUCCUACGGGAGGCAGCAGUAGGGAAUCUUCGGCAAUGGACGGAAGUCUGACCGAGCAACGCCGCGUGAGUGAAGAAGGUUUUCGGAUCGUAAAGCUCUGUUGUAAGAGAAGAACGAGUGUGAGAGUGGAAAGUUCACACUGUGACGGUAUCUUACCAGAAAGGGACGGCUAACUACGUG
rnacentral:rRNA from 1 species